GCACAGCUGCUUGUAGUUUAUAAACCAGGCCUUGAUAGUGAGAACUAAGCAUCAUCAGACAGGCAGGAAGAGCAAGAUGGAGUCAUACACCCAGGCCCUCAUGUCCCUGAUGCUCUGGAUAUCUGGCACCUGUGCAGAUAUUGUGAUGACCCAGUCUCCAUCCUCCUUGGCUGUGUCAGCAGGAGAGAAGGUCACCAUCAGUUGCAGCUCCAGUCAGAAUCUUUUAUACAGUGAAGACCAGAAGAACUAUUUGAACUGGUACCAGCAGAAACCAGGGCAGUCUCCUAAACUGCUGAUAUACUGGGGAUCCACUCGGCCAACCGGGGUUCCUCAUCGCUUCAUAGGCAGUGGAUCUGGGACUGAUUUCACUUUCACCAUCAGCAGUGUCCAGGAUGAAGACCAGGCAGAUUAUUACUGUAUGCAGAGUUAUAGUUAUCCUCUCACAGUGCUUCAGUCUCCAACAAAAACCACCUCUGCGAAUCUCACCAGCUGCCUGUAACACAAACAGCCCUGGACCUGCACACUUCCUCCUUCUG